rnacentral:misc_RNA from 1 species
UUUCCGUAGGUGAACCUGCGGAAGGAUCAUUAAUUAUAUAAGGCCACAGGGCAAGCUUUCUGAAAGGAUCGAGAUUGCUGUGUGAACCCUACCUACCCUUGCUUUUUGCGUACCCAUUGUUACCUCGGCAGGCAGGCCUGCGAGUAAGACCCUCUUAAACCCUAUGUAAUUUCAGUCAGCGUCAGAAACAACGUAAUCGUUACAACAUUCAACAACGGAUCUCUUGGUUCUGACAUCGAUGAAGAACGCAGC